UUGCGGUGCUGUAACAUAGUAAUUAUCUUUUCUCAAUUAGGAGAGAUGGCUGA
rnacentral:tRNA from 1 species